GCUCAGGAUGAACGCUAGCGGCAGGCCUAACACAUGCAAGUCGAGGGGCAGCACAGGUAGCAAUACUGGGUGGCGACCGGCGCACGGGUGCGUAACGCGUAUGCAACCUACCAUUGAUUGGGGCAUAGCCCGAAGAAAUUCGGAUUAAUACUCCAUAAUAUUCAUCAAAGGCAUCUUUUAUGAAUUAAAGCUUUUGCGAUCAAUGAUGGGCAUGCGUGACAUUAGUUAGUUGGUGAGGUAACGGCUCACCAAAACGAUGAUGUCUAGGGGUUCUGAGAGGAUGAUCCCCCACACUGGUACUGAGACACGGACCAGACUCCUACGGGAGGCAGCAGUAAGGAAUAUUGGUCAAUGGGCGCAAGCCUGAACCAGCCAUGCCGCGUGAAGGAUGACGGCCCUAUGGGUUGUAAACUUCUUUUGUACGGGAAAAAACCUCUGGUCGAGAAUCAGAGCUGAUGGUACCGUAAGAAUAAGCAUCGGCUAACUCCGUGCCAGCAGCCGCGGUAAUACGGAGGAUGCAAGCGUUAUCCGGAUUCAUUGGGUUUAAAGGGUGCGCAGGCGGAAUAAUAAGUCAGCGGUGAAAGCCUACAGCUUAACUGUAGAACUGCCAUUGAUACUGUUAUUCUUGAGUGUUGUUGAGGUAGGCGGAAUGUGUCAUGUAGCGGUGAAAUGCUUAGAUAUGACACAGAACACCGAUCGCGAAGGCAGCUUACCAAGCAACAACUGACGCUCAUGCACGAAAGCGUGGGGAUCAAACAGGAUUAGAUACCCUGGUAGUCCACGCCGUAAACGAUGGGUACUUGGUGUUGGAGGUAUUGACCCCUUCAGUGCCGAAGCUAACGCGUUAAGUACCCCGCCUGGGGAGUACGGCCGCAAGGUUAAAACUCAAAGAAAUUGACGGGGGCCCGCACAAGCGGUGGAGCAUGUGGUUU
rnacentral:rRNA from 1 species